rnacentral:rRNA from 1 species
CACGGGGGGAGCAAGCGUUGUUCGGAAUCACUGGGCGUAAAGGGCGUGUAGGCGGGAAGAUAAGUCAGAUGUGAAAUUCCAUGGCUCAACUGUGGCGCUGCAUCUGAAACUAUUUUUCUUGAGUGAUGGAGAGGAAAGCGGAAUUCCUAGUGUAGCGGUGAAAUGCGUAGAUAUUAGGAGGAACACCAGUGGCGAAGGCGGCUUUCUGGACAUUAACUGACGCUGAGGCGCGAAAGCGUGGGGAGCAAACAGG